rnacentral:rRNA from 1 species
AAUCAACGCUGGCGGCGUGCCUAACACAUGCAAGUCGAACGAGAAAGUGGAGCAAUCCAUGAGUACAGUGGCGACCGGGUGAGUAACACGUGACUAACCUACCCUCGAGUGGGGAAUAACUCCGGGAAACCGGAGCUAAUACCGCAUAACAUCGCAAGAUCAAAGCAGCAAUGCGCUUGAGGAGGGGGUCGCGGCUGAUUAGCUAGUUGGUAGGGUAACGGCCUACCAAGGCUGAGAUCGGUAUCCGGCCUGAGAGGGCGCACGGACACACUGGAACUGAAACACGGUCCAGACUCCUACGGGAGGCAGCAGUGGGGAAUUCUGCGCAAUGGGGGAAACCCUGACGCAGCAACGCCGCGUGGAGGAUGAAGUCCCUUGGGAUGUAAACUCCUUUCGACCGGGACGAUACUGACGGUACCGGAAGAAGAAGCACCGGCUAACUCUGUGCCAGCCGCCGCAGUAAGAC